rnacentral:rRNA from 1 species
AUUGAACGCUGGCGGCAUGCCUUACACAUGCAAGUCGAACGGUAACAGGUCUUCGGAUGCUGACGAGUGGCGAACGGGUGAGUAAUACAUCGGAACGUGCCUAGUAGGGGGGGAUAACUACUCGAAAGAGUGGCUAAUACCGCAUGAGAUCUACGGAUGAAAGCAGGGGAUCGCAAGACCUUGUGCUACUAGAGCGGCCGAGGGCAGAUUAGGUAGUUGGUGGGAUAAAAGCUUACCAAGCCGACGAUCUGUAACUGGUCUGAGAGGACGAUCAGCCACACUGGGACUGAGACACGGCCCAGACUCCUACGGGAGGCAGCAGUGGGGAAUUUUGGACAUUGGGCGCAAGCCUGAUCCAGCAAUGCCGCGUGCAGGAUGAAGGCCUUCGGGUUGUAAACUGCUUUUGUACGGAACGAAAAGCCCUGGGUUAAUACCCUGGGGUCAUGACGGUACCGUAAGAAUAAGCACCGGCUAACUACGUGCCAGCAGCCGCCGUAA